UCAGUCGACUCCUACGGGGAGGCAGCAGUGGGGAAUAUUGCACAAUGGGGGAAACCCUGAUGUAGCCAUGCCGCGUGUGUGAAGAAGGCCUUCGGGUUGUAAAGCACUUUCAGUAGGGAGGAAGGUAGUGUAGUUAACACCUGCAUUAUUUGACGUUACCUACAGAAGAAGCACCGGCUAACUCCGUGCCAGCAGCCGCGGUAAUACGGAGGGUGCGAGCGUUAAUCGGAAUUACUGGGCGUAAAGCGCAUGCAGGCGGCCUGUUAAGUCAGAUGUGAAAGCCCGGGGCUUAACCUCGGAAUUGCAUUUGAAACUGGCAGGCUAGAGUCUUGUAGAGGGGGGUAGGAAUUUCAGGUGUAGCGGUGAAAUGCGUAGAGAUCUGAAGGAAUACCAGUGGCGAAGGCGGCCCCCUGGACAAAGACUGACGCUCAGAUGCGAAAGCGUGGGGAGCAAACAGGAUUAGAUACCCUGGUAG
rnacentral:rRNA from 1 species